AAAAAAAAUAAAUAAAUAUAGAGAUUGAAAAAGGGAAAACGAACGGUGUUGAUAAGCAUAACGCCGAAAGGCUUCUCCAUUCUUUUCUCCAGCGUCAGAUUUCAUAAAAUCAAUUCUCCAAUAAAAUUUUAUAGCCCAUCCAAAACAAAAAUUCGGUUUCUCUGUCUCGGCGCCAAAUACAAAACAACCACUUCCUUCUUCUUUUUCUCUAUAUAAUUUUCCAGAUCAUCAUGGCGGAAGCUCCGACGAGUCCGGCUGGCGGGAGUCCCGAUAGCGGCGGUGAGCAUAGCCCGCGUGGGAGCGGUGUGCGAGAGCAGGAUCGGUACCUGCCGAUCGCCAAUAUCAGUCGUAUCAUGAAGAAGGCCUUGCCUGCUAAUGGCAAGAUCGCUAAGGACGCUAAAGAUACUGUACAAGAAUGCGUCUCUGAAUUCAUCAGUUUCAUCACCAGCGAGGCGAGUGACAAGUGCCAAAAGGAGAAGAGAAAGACGAUAAACGGCGAUGAUUUGUUAUGGGCAAUGGCUACGUUGGGAUUUGAGGAUUAUAUUGAACCGCUUAAGACUUACCUGGCAAGAUACAGGGAGGUAAAUUUUGAAUCUUUGAUUCUGAUUUCCUUUUUCAUUUACUGACCCGAAUUAUUAUGCUCGAUUCAUGUUUGGCUAUGAAUUGAAUUAAAUACUUAAAAUUUGAAUUAGACUACACGGUGUUUUGUUGACGUGAAAACUAAAGAAUAAAAAGAAGAGCAAUCUUUUUUCCGUAUCAUAUCCCAAAUCGUAUUUGAGGUUAAUAAUAUUCAAAUUGAGGUUGUCUGCAUGUAGAAUUUGAAAAUUGAAGAAGGUUUUUCUGUCCUCUCCCUUAUGCAUCAAGGCAGCACCUUACUUAUACUUGUAUUUAUUCAUUUUCGACAAAAUGAGUUUAACUCUUUCUUUUAUUUCUUUGGGUGCAAAUUCAACUCUAAUUUUUCCAUUCUUGUUUUGUUGACGUGGCUGAUUUUGUUGGUGUGAUUGCACUGCGGCAGUUGGAGGGAGACACCAAGGGAUCUGGUAGGGGUGGUGAUGGUUCUGCAAAAAGAGAUGGACUAGGAGCUGGGCCUGGUCAAAAUCCCCAGGUCUGAUAAUAAUAACAUGAAGAGGGUCAGCAUAUGGUGGUUCCCUCCAUGCAAGGCAAUGAGUAGGACACUUGAGCUUUUCAUUUUCAGUUUCCUUCUCUAUCUUCUUUUAUGCACUCCAUGGGUGGCAAAAUUACAUUAGUUAUAUCCUCUUUAUAUGAAUAUUCUAAUUCAGUCUAAGAAUUAUGUUUCAAAGGCUCUCUUUCCCAUUGGGUAGGGAUUUAUUUUUACCUGGUUAAUGAUCUUACUCAUCUGCAGUUGUGUAAUGUAAAUCACUUGUCUCUCUUCGUAGUAUAGUGGGCUCGCCAUGGAAGACUGCUUAGAUGUAUGGCUCCAAAACCUAUGAACCGAAGUCGUUCUUUUCUCAUUUUUGCAGUAUAUAUGGCUAGUCAGUAUUAUUACGAUUGUUUUUCUUCUC